rnacentral:rRNA from 1 species
CCUACGGGAGGCAGCAGUGGGGAAUAUUGCGCAAUGGGCGAAAGCCUGACGCAGCGACGCCGCGUGAGGGAUGAAGGUCUUCGGAUCGUAAACCUCUGUCAGCAGGGAAGCAAGGGCACUGUGCUAAUCAGCAGUGAAUUGACGGUACCUGCAAAGGAAGCACCGGCUAACUCCGUGCCAGCAGCCGCGUUAAUACGGAGGGGGCGAGCGUUAAUCGGAAUUACUGGGCGUAAAGCGCUCGUAGGCGGUAUGUCAAGUCAAGGGUGAAAUCCCCGGGCUCAACGUGGGAACUGCCUUUGAAACUGGCAAACUUGAGUGUGUGAGAGGAGAGUGGAAUUCCAGGUGUAGGAGUGAAAUCCGUAGAUAUCUGGAGGAACAUCAGUGGCGAAGGCGACUAUCUGGCACAUAACUGACGCUGAGGAGCGAAAGCGUGGGUAGCAAACAGGAUUAGAUACCCUUGUAGUC